rnacentral:rRNA from 1 species
AGAGUUUGAUCAUGGCUCAGAAUGAACGCUGGCGGCAGGCCUAACACAUGCAAGUCGGACGAGGUAGCAAUACCUAGUGGCGGACGGGUGAGUAACACGUGGGAACGUACCCUUUGCUACGGAAUAGCCCUGGGAAACUGGGAGUAAUACCGUAUGAGCCCGAGAGGGGAAAGAUUUAUCGGCAAAGGAUCGGCCCGCGUUGGAUUAGGUAGUUGGUGGGGUAAUGGCCUACCAAGCCGACGAUCCAUAGCUGGUUUGAGAGGAUGAUCAGCCACACUGGGACUGAGACACGGCCCAGACUCCUACGGGAGGCAGCAGUGGGGAAUCUUAGACAAUGGGGGAAACCCUGAUCUAGCCAUGCCGCGUGAUCGAUGAAGGCCUUAGGGUUGUAAAGAUCUUUCAGGUGGGAAGAUAAUGACUGUACCACCAGAAGAAGCCCCGGCUAACUCCGUG